rnacentral:rRNA from 1 species
CUGGGAGGACCAUCUCCUAAGGCUAAAUACUCUCUAGUGACCGAUAGUGAACCAGUACCGUGAGGGAAAGGUGAAAAGCACCCCGGAAGGGGAGUGAAAUAGAACCUGAAACCGUGUGCUUACAAGUAGUCAGAGCCCGUUAAUGGGUGAUGGCGUGCCUUUUGUAGAAUGAACCGGCGAGUUACGAUUUGAUGCAAGGUUAAGCAGUAAAUGUGGAGCCGUAGCGAAAGCGAGUCUGAAUAGGGCGUUUAGUAUUUGGUCGUAGACCCGAAACCAGGUGAUCUACCCUUGGUCAGGUUGAAGUUCAGGUAACACUGAAUGGAGGACCGAACCGACUUACGUUGAAAAGUGAGCGGAUGAACUGAGGGUAGCGGAGAAAUUCCAAUCGAACCUGGAGAUAGCUGGUUCUCUCCGAAAUAGCUUUAGGGCUAGCCUCAAGUGAUGAUUAUUGGAGGUAGA